UACGGGGGGAGCAAGCGUUGUUCGGAUUUACUGGGCGUAAAGGGCGCGUAGGCGGUCAGCACAAGUCAGUUGUGAAAUCUCCGGGCUUAACUCGGAAAGGUCAACUGAUACUGUGCGACUAGAGUGCAGAAGGGCAACUGGAAUUCUCGGUGUAGCGGUGAAAUGCGUAGAUAUCGAGAGGAACACCUGCGGCGAAGGCAGCUCGCUGGGACGGUACUGACGCUGAGGCGCGAAAGCGUGGGGAGCGAACAGG
rnacentral:rRNA from 1 species